GACGGAAGAAGUUAGCAAUGAUGAAUAUUUUUGCAUCAGUAGAUUUACCUGUUUUGAGAGGCACUUUGGUGGCAAACCCAUCGGUCCACGGCGACUGCAGAGACGGAUCCAGAGUGAUUGCGGGGUUUAGGUGACACGGUCAGGCAUGCUGUUUUACUGUAAUGAGUAAAAAUAUGUAUUUUUUUCCAGUUUUGGUGUAUGUGGGAACUUAUAUGGAAAUAAUUGUUAGAGCUAAUCAAUGUGUUCAUUCACCGUAAGCAAAGGAAGAGCCACCUGUAGAUGCAAAGCUGCAAUACUCGUGUUGGCCACCGGAUGGCAGCAGCAGUGAGGAGCCGCUUGAGACGAGGUGAAGCCUCAUGAAGCUUUGAGUCUUGCCUUCAAAUUGGGAGCUUUGGUACUUCAGUGAAGCAUUAGCGACAUCUGGUGGAGGAAAGAAGUCAACGCAGUGCAAGCGGCACAACACCGGAAGUGCCUGGAGGCAAGUCUGUGGGUGGAGUAUAUUAAAAGAGAGCAUUUUCGAAGCGUAAAAUCCAAACAAAUACAGCUGAAUAGGUGCAAAUUCUGCAAGAACUAGAAAGCUUUCCGUUCGGGAUAUCCCUAUCAAGAUUUCGAUAACAUGACAUGACAAAAUAUGAACAAAACUCUUUCAGAUAUUUUGAUUCGUCAUGACUUACAAGUCGGCCGCACGAUGAGGGAGUGGUUAACUUGUUGGUCACACAGUCAGCAGAUGGGGAAGACCUGGGUUGGAAUCUGUGUGGACUUCACAUGUUCUGCCCGCGAGUGCGUGGUUUUCUCACCUGGAUAUCUUCCUCCAUGAAGAUGCAGCCUCACGUCCACUCACUGAGAGUUACUUCUUACAACAGUUUGCAUUGAUCAAAUAAACUUUAUUGAUCUCCAUGACAAAAACACAAUCUAUUUGAUGUUGCCUCCACGUAUCUGAAAUGAUGGCCAACUCAGUACUUCUGAGCGCUGCUAGCCAGGGCAUCUCUCUCCAUGACUA